rnacentral:rRNA from 1 species
UACGAAGGGGGCUAGCGUUGUUCGGAAUUACUGGGCAUAAAGGGUGCGUAGGCGGCUUGUUAAGUCAGGGGUGAAAGUUUUCGGCCCAACCGGAAAAUUGCCUUUGAUACUGGCGAGCUGGAGUGCGUGAGGGGUGACCGGAACGAGUGGUGUAGCGGUGAAAUGCGUAGAUAUCACUCGGAAGGCCAACGGCGAAGGCAGGUCACUGGUGCGCAACUGACGCUGAGGCACGAAAGCGUGGGGAGCAAACAGG